ensembl:lncRNA
CGGCGUAUGAAAAGACUGCGUCAGGUUCUCCGACGUCUCCCUCUUCCACAAAGAACGCUGAUAGUGGUCAUGGCGCAUUGACUCUCUCUGCAUCCUCCAACCCGCUGAAGACCUUCCCUUUGACAUCCACACCAGUGAAAACCUUUCCCUCGGACCAAGGACUAUCGACAUCGUGCCCCGACACACCUGGGACCCUUGAUUCAAGUUUUAGCACUGUGGGUGAAGCAGACGAAAACUACCAGCCCAACACAACUGUCACCCCCACGUCAACGUCUUCAUCAGAAGAUGAAGGCAUCAAUGACUGGCACGGAAAGAAGAUCAUUGUGAAUGAGUCCUGCUUGAUGUCACUUUUCAAAUUUUGCCAGAUGUGCGGCAAGCCUCUGUCAUCAACCCAACGAUUCUAUAUAAGGUUUCAACAUCCUCACUUGCCCUGCCCCAGCCUGCGCUGCCACCUAACAUUGCACCAGUGCCAAAACCACCAAAGGAGGCGGCAGUGGCUGAAUUAAAAAGGCGCUUCUGAGAGGGACAUCUGACCUAUUUUAUCUAUUUAAACGUAUCUUUUAUAAAACAUUUGUUUUCAAUCUUAUCUUUGUAAAUAUUGGAU